AGAGUUAGAGGUCCAUAUCAGCCUUCCUGCUUUGCCAUGCCGCCGAUGCCCUAACCAUGAAACAAGAUCAGCAAACCUUUCUCCAACGCCCUCCCAGGUCCUGAUUCCCAUCACAAAUUAGAGCUAUACCACCCCAAAGGCGGCUAGGGUUUGGAAGGACUUCAUCCUCGAUCCACAACUGACAUCCCAUUAGGGUUUUGAUCUUUUGAUGCAAGUCUGAAAAGUUCAAGACCUGAUGAUCCUCUUUGUACAAAUUAGUCAUACUAUGACAGCCUGAAAAUUGAAAAGAGAAAUUAUUAGUUCUGCCUGGUGAUAGAGAUUAGUGGGGUGGAGAUGUACUGGUCAUCAUUCUUUACAGGUCUCUCGUCAAAAGAAUAAGGUAACACUAAUGCUGCUUUCCUUUCUAAAUUUUGUUGGAGAAUGGAAAUAAUAGAAGUACUCAAUUUCUUGCAGUAAUACAUCCACUUGUAAUUUUUAAACUCAGUUGAUAUUUGCUGCAGCAUAUGUGGAUCAAACUAUGAAUUGUUCACCAUCUGACACAUGCAUAUGUUCAGUCCAAGUUAGACUAGUUUAAAAUUCAGAGAACAAAACUUGUUGCAUAUUGUUAAGAAACCUCUGAACUGUUCACCAUCUAACACAUGUAUGUGUUCAGUCUAAGUAAAACAUGCAUAUGUUUAGUCCAGGUGAUACUCCAAAAUUCAGUUGAUAUUCAUUUCCCAUCGUCAUCUCAGACCACUUUCGACUGCAACUUGAUUGAUGCUUUCUCGAUCCAUCGGUCAUCUUGGCUUCUAUUGUUUCUGAUCUAGGCAAACAUGCAGAUUUUCAUCUUUUGGAAUCAAGUCUGAAAAUUCAGGGCCCAGGAGCACCUUUUCUUUGCAGAAAAACUACAGGUAUUAAACUAUUUUUCGGAUCCAAGUAUGCACUUUUCUUUUCCAAUGGCCACAAUAGAAAAACAUAGGCAUUCAAUCUGAUCACAACACAUAUGUCAUAUCGAAGUCUGAAAUUUCAGAGCCUAGGAGGAUCUUCUCAUCUUUGCAGAAAAAUGACAUGUAACUACAUUUUUUUUAUCAAGUAUGUAGAUUUCCUUUUUUUUAGACUACAUAGUAGGACUACAUUACAAUAGC